rnacentral:rRNA from 1 species
UGGCGGACGGGUGAGUAAUGUCUGGGAAACUGCCCGAUGGAGGGGGAUAACUACUGGAAACGGUAGCUAAUACCGCAUAACGUCGCAAGACCAAAGAGGGGGACCUUAGGGCCUCUUGCCAUCGGAUGUGCCCAGAUGGGAUUAGCUAGUAGGUGGGGUAACGGUUCACCUAGGCGACGAUCCCUAGCUGGUCUGAGAGGAUGACCAGCCACACUGGAACUGAGACACGGUCCAG